CGUGCAGGCGGUUUGGUAAGUUGGGUGUGAAAGCUCCAGGCUCAACCUGGAGAGGUCGCUCAAUACUGCCAGACUUGAGGACGGUAGAGGGAGGUGGAAUUCCGGGUGUAGUGGUGAAAUGCGUAGAUAUCCGGAGGAACACCAGUGGCGAAAGCGGCCUCCUGGCCCGUUCCUGACGCUCAGACGCGAAAGCUAGGGUAGCGAACG
rnacentral:rRNA from 1 species